GACGAACGCUGGCGGCGUGCUUAACACAUGCAAGUCGAACGGAAAGGCCCUGCUUUUGUAGGGUGCUCGAGUGGCGAACGGGUGAGUAACACGUGAGUAACCUGCCCUUGACUUUGGGAUAACUUCAGGAAACUGGGGCUAAUACCGGAUAGGAGCUCCUGCUGCAUGGUGGGGGUUGGAAAGUUUCGGCGGUUGGGGAUGGACUCGCGGCUUAUCAGCUUGUUGGUGGGGUAGUGGCUUACCAAGGCUUUGACGGGUAGCCGGCCUGAGAGGGUGACCGGCCACAUUGGGAGUGAGAUACGGCCCAGACUCCUACGGGAGGCAGCAGUGGGGAAUAUUGCACAAUGGGCGGAAGCCUGAUGCAGCAACGCCGCGUGCGGGAUGACGGCCUUCGGGUUGUAAACCGCUUUCGCCUGUGACGAAGCGUGAGUGACGGUAAUGGGUAAAGAAGCACCGGCUAACUACGUG
rnacentral:rRNA from 1 species